rnacentral:tRNA from 1 species
GGGGUCGGCUGCGUUGUGCUGUCGUUGGUUCCUGCCUGUCACGCCGGAGGUCGCGAGUUCGAGUCUCGUCGGCCCCGCCA